UCCGGCCCUACCAUAACAUCGAAGCCAUGAAAUCCUCUCCCCGACAACCGCUCCUCCCGAGCAUCACCUCACCGCUUCCCUACACACCUCGCUGCACCGCAGCCAUCGCCACUCCGUCGCCUAUCUGGUGUUGCCUCCAGUGUCCUCCCAGCUUCUCCGUGCAUCCUCCCGCCGUGCAGCUUGUCCUCUUGCUGCAAAUCGCUUUCUCCCGUAGUAAAUGAAUUCCUCCGCCGUCACGUUGCUCCGCACUUUCGUCAGCUGGUUCAUCGAUCAGGUCAUGCGUCUGGUGUUGCCGCCGCCAUCUUCACUUUUCUGGUGCAGGUCUCGAGCAAUAUCUCGCACCGCCGCAAUCACUGUCUUUUGUUCUUCCUCAGUUUACUUGAAUGGAUGUAGAAAGCCCUAGACCACAAAUUUCUGCAAUGACAGUUUAGGUCCAAAUAGCAGCAGAACCUAUCAUGGAUAUACUACAAGGACUUGGCGUAAAGAUGUUUGAUUCAGUCAGAAGAACUCAAAAGAGGCUGGGAUCACCGAAGAAGACAGCCUAUUGGGGGUGAGGCCUUCGGUAGCGCACAACGGCAGAGUGGAGGGCGGUUGCGUCUGCUGCGGCAACAUGGAGGGCCGCAGGCCCACGGCAUGAAGGGCAACAACGGCCGGCUCCAGUGGUGUGGGAUAAAAAAGGCAGUUGAAGAGAUAACUUUAUCAUGUGGAGAUUGGUCUACUAGAGGGCUACAAUGUGGAGCCUUUUGUUUUGGAGUGGGAGCAGCAGUUCACAGUAUAAAUUGUGAGUAAGAUUGCUAAAAAGGAAUUUUUAUGGAUGAUUUAAGCCAUCAAAUCAACUAUUCUUACCGUUGUACAUUGAUUGAGAUAAUCAUGUAUAUAUUAUUAUUGGUAGCUAUAGAAAAAAUUAACUCCUAAUUUUUAUAUUAGUGUAGAUAAUUUCUCUUCAAAUUACACUCAGUCUCCGUGUAUUCUUGUUAUACA